AUGAACGCUGGCGGCGUGCUUAACACAUGCAAGUCGAACGGAAAGGCUCCUGCUUGCAGGGGUACUCGAGUGGCGAACGGGUGAGUAACACGUGGGUGAUCUGCCCUGCACUUCGGGAUAAGCCUGGGAAACUGGGUCUAAUACCGGAUAGGACGAUGGUUUGGAUGCCAUUGUGGAAAGUUUUUCGGUGUGGGAUGAGCUCGCGGCCUAUCAGCUUGUUGGUGGGGUAAUGGCCUACCAAGGCGUCGACGGGUAGCCGGCCUGAGAGGGUGUACGGCCACAUUGGGACUGAGAUACGGCCCAGACUCCUACGGGAGGCAGCAGUGGGGAAUAUUGCACAAUGGGCGCAAGCCUGAUGCAGCGACGCCGCGUGGGGGAUGACGGCCUUCGGGUUGUAACCUCCUUUCGCUAGGGACGAAGCGUUUUGUGACGGUACCUGGAGAAGAAGCACCGGCUAACUACGUG
rnacentral:rRNA from 1 species